rnacentral:misc_RNA from 1 species
CACUCGGUAAGAACAAGUUCAACCUGUAUGGUCACGUGAAAGUAACUCCUCUUUCACAUGCACGGUAGCUGGACCCGGAGAAGCAUUGAACAACAAUUCGCUACGGUCAACCACUACUGCCCGUGGCCGCGUGGCAAAUUGAGGCUUAGAAAGGUACCCGUUCAGUUACCGAGUCAUAGGAAAGAUUUCCUGUCGUGUUUUGAAGCUCAACAAGAGCGCCUAGUCAACACUCUUAGUGAGGGUCUUGUCGUCGUUCUACGGGACUACAAGGAAGGUAUACCUUCAAUAGCCGAAUCGUAAGAGAGGGUCAAGCCUGCCGUGAAUUGUGGCUCAAUAAGUUGGAACCCGGACAGGAGAAGUACAGGUCACAGUUUCAAGUACAUACAUAAGAAGAUCGUCUCGCCGGUCAACCUGGUCAACUCUCAGAUUGAACGCCUUGUCGUCGUUUAGCGGGAUUUAAAGAUCGUCUCGCCGGUCAACCUGGUCAACUCUCAGAUUGAACGCCUUGUCGUCGUUUAGCGGGAUUUAAAGGUUAGUUUUCUCUGUCGGACCGUCCAUUCUUGCUGUUUUUCUCUAAACGAAUUUCACGACGUUUUCGGAAUUUCUAUUAAUUUACGAGUGUGUAUAUAUAUAUUUUUUAACUGUUUUGUUGUCAAUCUCUUUGCUUGCGAUGUUGGCUCGGGGUCACAAUGAUGGUUCAUAGUUAUUUUUCCGCAGUUGAGUGGGUUUAUACAGAGGAGACAUUUGUAGUGUGUUCUGCUCACAUAAGUAUAGAACAUGUUUCCGCACUUGUGGCCAGGGCGCACGCUCUCAUCUCAAAGCGUAAACUUUAGAGUUUGAAUCGAAGAAAUACAUGAUUGAGGGAGCGACCCAUAUUCAUAAACGUGAUGCAAAACUGAUAUUUAAUUAAUGCAACAGUCACGUGGUAUGGCUGUCAUCAUCAAAAGCCAUUUGAAUGUAUUACACUCUUUUGAUGAGUCGGCUUCGAAGAACCAUUGGCCUGCAAUACAGGCUUCCUUUAUUGCAGUUCAUUUUUA